GCUGUACUUCCUCCGUCCUAAAAUUCUUGUCUUAUAUUUGUCUAAAUAUGGAUGUAUCAAGUCACAUUUUAGUAUUAGAUACAUCUGUAUCUAGACUAAUCUAAGACAAGAAUUUUGGGAUGGAGGGAAUAACAU
rfam:Triticum aestivum genome assembly, contig: Triticum_aestivum_CS42_TGACv1_scaffold_328769_4BS